rnacentral:rRNA from 1 species
GAUUAUGGCUCAGGAUGAACGCUAGCGGCAGGCUUAACACAUGCAAGUCGAGGGGCAGCGCGAGUAGCAAUACUUGGCGGCGACCGGCGCAAGGGUGCGUAACGCGUGAGCAACAUGCCCGUAUCAGGGGGAUAAUCCAGGGAAACUUGGUCUAAUACCCCAUAGUAAUUUUGUAAGGCAUCUUAUAAGAUUUAAAGCUUUGGUGGAUACGGAUUGGCUCGCGUGACAUUAGCUGGAUGGUAAGGUAACGGCUUACCAUGGCUAUGAUGUCUAGGGGUUCUGAGAGGAAGGUCCCCCACACUGGAACUGAGACACGGUCCAGACUCCUACGGGAGGCAGCAGUGAGGAAUAUUGGACAAUGGAUGGAAAUCUGAUCCAGCCAUGCCGCGUGAAAGGAAGAAGGUCCUAUGGAUUGUAAACUUCUUUUGUAUGGGAGCAAUAAGGCCUACGAGUAGGUUGAUGAGAGUACCAUACGAAUAAGCACCGGCUAACUCCGUGCCAGCCGCCGC